GACGUAGGGGGCCAGCGUUGCUCGGAAUUACUAGGUGUAAAGGGUUCGUAGGCGGGGUGGCAAGUCGGGAGUGAAAUCUCUGGGCUCAACCCAGAGUCUGCUUCCGAAACUGCUGUGCUUGAGUGUGGGAGAGGCGCGUGGAAUUGCAGGUGUAGCGGUGAAAUGCGUAGAUAUCUGCAGGAACACCCGUGGCGAAAGCGGCGCGCUGGACCACUACUGACGCUGAGGAACGAAAGCUAGGGGAGCAAACAGG
rnacentral:rRNA from 1 species